rnacentral:ncRNA from 1 species
CACCCCAAAGGCAAACCCGUCGCAAGGCGGGGACGCAAAACUAAAGGGUCCUUCAUAUUCUGGAGGGCAGCCAGUUACCGCGA